GACGAACGCUGGCGGCAUGCCUAAUACAUGCAAGUCGAGCGAACAGAUGAAGUGCUUGCACUUCUGACGUUAGCGGCGAACGGGUGAGUAACACGUAAGGAAUCUACCUAUGAGCGGGGGAUAACAUUCGGAAACGGGUGCUAAUACCGCAUAAUAUCUUCUUCCGCAUGGAAGAAGAUUGAAAGACGGCUCUGCUGUCACUUAUAGAUGACCUUGCGGUGCAUUAGUUAGUUGGUGGGGUAACGGCCUGCCAAGACGAUGAUGCAUAGCCGACCUGAGAGGGUGAUCGGACACGUUGGGACUGAGACACGGCCCAAACUCCUACGGGAGGCAGCAGUAGGGAAUCUUCCGCAAUGGGCGAAAGCCUGACGGAGCAAUGCCGCGUGAGUGAAGAAGGCCUUCGGGUCGUAAAACUCUGUUAUAAGAGAAGAACAAAUUGUAGAGUAACUGCUACAGUCUUGACGGUAUCUUAUCAGAAAGCCACGGCUAACUACGUGCCAGCCGCCGCCGUAA
rnacentral:rRNA from 1 species